rnacentral:lncRNA from 1 species
AGUACAAGUUCAUUGCUCCAGCCCAGCUGGCCUUGAAUCUUAUUGCCUUUCUUCCUGGCCUCAUCACUCCCAAAUUGGUCUCACCCUCCCUUUGCAGCCAUCUUCAGAGUUAUAGCUCAAGUUCUGCCUCUUUUCACAAAAUUCUCCGCCAGGCGCAGUGGCUCACGCCUAUAAUCCCAGCACUUUGGGAGGCCAAGGCGGGUGGAUCACCUGAGGUCAGGAGUUCGAGACCAGCCUGACAAGACAUUGUCCCAUUCAUUUUGGAGCUCAAAAUCUGAAACACAGAAUAAAGAAUUAUGGCACAAAAGACCCUAUCCCACUUGUUCUCCUAAUGGCAACUGCCUAAUUUUCAUUUAUUCAUAAAAUAUAGUUAAGACUAGGGGAGAAAAAGAGCACUUUUCCCUCCCACUAUAACUCCAUCUUUCUAAAUCCUAUUUUAGCAAUGUGAAAGAGACAGAUAGGCUGAAGAAAGAGAAAAUUCUAAGUCUUUAACAGACCGUGACAAAAAUAGGGCCAGAUAAUUAUUGCUAAGAAAACGAAAUUACUUUUUUAUCGCCAUACACUGAAUGGCUUUCUCCAUUGUGCUCCCUAAGUCUGUAAUAGCACUGAUUAUGGAACACACAACCCCUGACC